GCUUCCUUAGCUCAGUCGGUAGAGCGCGAGUCUCAUAUUCGAUCAUCGUUGCGGUGGCCAAUCUCGAGGUCGCAAGUUCGAGCCUUGCAGGGAGCA